GGCUUAACACAUGCAAGUCGUGCGAGAAAGUAUCUUCGGAUAUGAGUAGAGCGGCGAACGGGUGAGUAACGCGUAGGAAUGUACCUAGUAGAAGGGGAUAGCCCGGGGAAACCCGGAUUAAUACCGUAUACCUCCUUCGGGAGAAAGAAGGCCUCUCUUUGAAGCUUUCGCUACUAGAUCAGCCUGCGUAAGAUUAGCUUGUUGGUGAGGUAAAGGCUCACCAAGGCGACGAUCUUUAGCUGGUCUGAGAGGACGAUCAGCCACAUUGGGACUGAGACACGGCCCAGACUCCUACGGGAGGCAGCAGUGGGGAAUAUUGGACAAUGGGCGCAAGCCUGAUCCAGCCAUACCGCGUGUGUGAAGAAGGCCUUCGGGUUGUAAAGCACUUUAAGCAGGGAGAAAAAAAUAUAGGCUAAUACCCUAUGUUCUUGAUGUUACCUGCAGAAUAA
rnacentral:rRNA from 1 species